rnacentral:rRNA from 1 species
AGGACGAACGCUGGCGGCGUGCUUAACACAUGCAAGUCGAACGGAAAGGCCCGCUUGCGGGUACUCGAGUGGCGAACGGGUGAGUAACACGUGGGCAACCUGCCCUCAGCUUCGGGAUAACACUUGGAAACCAGGUGCUAAUACCGGAUAAUAACUUUUCAUCGCAUGGUGGAUGGUUCAAAGUUUUUCGGCUGAGGAUGGGCCCGCGGCCUAUCAGCUUGUUGGUGGGGUAAUGGCCUACCAAGGCGACGACGGGUA